UCUGUUUGUAUUGGCUUAUUAUCAUUUAAGAAGACUUGAGUUUGUAGCAUUUAAAAAAGGAAUUAUAUUUUAUGUAACAUGUACUUUUAUUUUGGGUUCAGCAGGGCGGGAGAUGGGCAGGAAGGUGGAAGUGCUGAUAGCUGAAGAGAUCUACAAGAGGAUGAAGAAGGUCCAGAUCGUGCCUUAUUUCACCUUCCUAGUGAUAACUGCUAAUAUAUUUCCAUCGAGCCUCUUUUAAUGACUGCAGAUACCUGCACUGUCCACCCGCUACCUCCUGGAUCAUGCUGGCCUGUUGAUACAAAGGAAGCUCUCAUUCUGUGGCUGGGAGACCUACCCACCGGCUGGGUGAGUGAUGACCCACCUGCCCGACUGGAUGACAGUGGGAUGUCAGCAGAUGGGUGCAAGUGAACUCUUCUUCUGCCUUUUUGAAGUGCUUGAGGUGGAGGGAAAGACACCUUGCAAAGCUCUCAGUCACCUUUAGGAGAGGAGAAGUUACCGAUGUACUUCAAGCUUUUUACAAACUUGUAUCAGGGUGACGUGUAGGUGGAUAGUUGAGUGGCUCUCCCAAGGGGAGAACAGAGGCCCCGGGGUAUAGACCUGGAUCCAGCUCCGGUGCAGGCACUGUGACCUCAGAUCAGCACUUCUUUAUGCCCCAGUUUUCUGUCUGCAAAUCUGUAUAAUAAAAUGCCCAAUUCAUGGGGUUACUGGAAGAUA
rnacentral:lncRNA from 1 species